rnacentral:misc_RNA from 1 species
GAUGAAGAACGCAGUGAAACGCGAUAUGUAAUGUGAAUUGCAGAAUUCAGUGAAUCAUCGAAUCUUUGAACGCACAUGGCGCCUUCCAGUAUCCUGGGAGGCAUGCCUGUCCGAGCGUCGUUUCAACCCUCGAGCCCCCGUGGCCCGGCGUUGGGGAUCUGCCCAGGCAGUCCCCGAAAACCAGUGGCGGACCCGUUACAGUCCCUUCCCUUGCGUAGUAGCAUUCGCCUCGCAUCGGGAGCCAGCGGGCUUCCAGCCUCUAAACCCCCAUCAAGUCCGCCCCGGCGGCACCAAGGUUGACCUCGGAUCAGGUAGGAAUACCCGCUGAACUUAAGCAUAUCAAUAAGCGGAGGA